rnacentral:rRNA from 1 species
UGGGGAAUAUUGCACAAUGGGCGCAAGCCUGAUGCAGCCAUGCCGCGUGUAUGAAGAAGGCCUUCGGGUUGUAAAGUACUUUCAGCGGGGAGGAAGGCGAUAAGGUUAAUAACCUUGUCGAUUGGCGUUACCCGCAGAAGAAGCACCGGCUAACUCCGUGCCAGCAGCCGCGGUAAUACGGAGGGUGCAAGCGUUAAUCGGAAUUACUGGGCGUAAAGCGCACGCAGGCGGUCUGUCAAGUCGGAUGUGAAAUCCCCGGGCUCAACCUGGGAACUGCAUUCGAAACUGGCAGGCUAGAGUCUUGUAGAGGGGGGAAGAAUUCCAGGUGUAGCGGUGAAAUGCGUAGAGAUCUGGAGGAAUACCGGUGGCGAAGGCGGCCCCCUGGACAAAGACUGACGCUCAGGUGCGAAAGCGUGGGGAGCAAACA